rnacentral:tmRNA from 1 species
GGGGCUGUUUGGUUUUGACAGCGAGGUAAAUGGGUACUGUAAGCAUGCCGAGCCACGUAACAUGAUCUCGUAAAUCCGGGUUGCAAACAAAUAAAAGGCGAAAACACUUACGCUCUUGCUGCCUGAUCGAAUUACAGUAGAUUGGCUUAAUCCUGCACAAGGUGUGGGACAAGACGUUUCCCGCAAACCCGGUCCGGCGGUUUGCGAUUAGGGGACGCUCGUGAGAUCGGAAUAGCCGCAACUUUUUCUCGCAGUUGUGGCGAAAUAACAGAGGAUAAGAUGGAAGUAGGCUGUCGUUGACCGGCUUCCAUUCGAAAACCAAUCGACGAAUAAGCAUGUAGAAAGCAUAUUUGUUUCUUGUUUGGACACGGGUUCGACUCCCGUCAGCUCCACCA